rnacentral:ncRNA from 1 species
ACCGUCGCGUGCGGUGCGGCUUCAAUCCGAGGGGCUUCCGCCUCCUGGCGCACCUUCCCCGGUGCCAGGCGGUACCCGCGGAUUGAAACCACGGCGCACGCGACGCGCCAU